GUUGAAAUAAGCCUUAUAUAUCAAACAAGGCCUAAACAAGUGAUGGGAUGUUGUUAUAAUCUCCUAAAGAAAGAGCUCCCAUGAAUAGGCUUACAUUAACUAAAACAAACAAACAAACAAACAAAUCAAAAUGUGCCUCCUCCUCUUUCUCCUCCUAUCCUUUUAGAUAGAUAACCACCGAUUCUCUCUCUCACACUCUCUCUCAAUCCUACUUUUCAAAUAAUCCAUCUUUUUUUAACUUCAUAGGGCGGCGAUGCCCGUUUCAAGUGAGAUCGCAUCUUCAUCUUCAUCAUCAUCAUGUCCUUUGAGGGUACAAAUGGUGUCAAAUUCAGUUUCCAAUAGACUUCUAAUCAAAUUCUGCGACGUGUCGGAAUUCAGUUUUGACUACACAAAAAGCGGUCUCUGGUCGCCGCCGAUUGAAAGAAACGUCUUCUUAAGUUCUCCCGACACCGGCGAGAUAUCUAACCAACACCAAAUGCUAUCAAAACUCAGAAAAGCCCUUCAUUCUCAUUCUCACCAAACAAGAAAAAAACAAGUUUGUCUCAAUGCAGUUUGCUUUUCUCCAAGAAGACAGCAACAACAAUGAAACAGUGAGAUGAUGAUGAUGAUGACUUUUUUAUUUUUUUAUUAUUUUUUUUUAAAUCUGAUGAUGAUGGAUCAGAUCUUUGUAAUUAUGAAAUGGAGAUCUAUCUAUCUUUAAACACAUUAAUUAAUUAAUAUAAUGUUUAAUUAAUAUAUUUGGCAUUUCUACUGCCAUAUUUUCUUGGAUACCAUUUUAAUUGUACGCUUCUGGUCAAUUUAACUUAAUUGUGGAGCCCAAUCCCACCACCCCCACACUGUUAGAAAGAGACAUUAGACAGAAAAUCUGUCUCUUAAUUACUAAUAUCUUCUAUUUAU